UGGGAACGGGGUGCUGGGGGAAGGGCUCUCAGAGCUGAAUGGCUGUGCAGAGAAGGUCAGAAGAUGACCAAAUGGGGCUCAUAUUGACCGCACUUGGGCUUCUCUCUACAUGGCUCCUGAAUAAGGGCGUUUGCCAUCUGCCUCUUGGAGGAUUGAAUCCCGUGCUGCUGCAGCUGUUGACCUUUGACAUUCCCUGAAGGCAGUUCAGGGUGGAAAAUGAGAUGCAGAAUCUGAAAGAUGAAAAGAUGAAACGGUUCCAAUUGGGCCACAGGUUCCUCUUAGGACAGAAGUAGCUCCAGACUCCAGACCAGCCCGAUGAAAACUGUUAUUUGG
ensembl:lncRNA